GAGUAAUGUCUGGGAAACUGCCUGAUGGAGGGGGAUAACUACUGGAAACGGUGGCUAAUACCGCAUAACGUCGCAAGACCAAAGAGGGGGACCUUCGGGCCUCUUGCCAUCAGAUGUGCCCAGAUGGGAUUAGCUUGUUGGUGAGGUAACGGCUCACCAAGGCGACGAUCCCUAGCUGGUCUGAGAGGAUGACCAGCCACACUGGAACUGAGACACGGUCCAGACUCCUACGGGAGGCAGCAGUGGGGAAUAUUGCACAAUGGGCGCAAGCCUGAUGCAGCCAUGCCGCGUGUAUGAAGAAGGCCUUCGGGUUGUAAAGUACUUUCAGCGGGGAGGAAGGUGUUGUGGUUAAUAACCGCAGCAAUUGACGUUACCCGCAGAAGAAGCACCGGCUAACUCCGUGCCAGCAGCCGCGGUAAUACGGAGGGUGCAAGCGUUAAUCGGAAUUACUGGGCGUAAAGCGCACGCAGGCGGUCUGUCAAGUCGGAUGUGAAAUCCCCGGGCUCAACCUGGGAACUGCAUUCGAAACUGGCAGGCUUGAGUCUUGUAGAGGGGGGUAGAAUUCCAGGUGUAGCGGUGAAAUGCGUAGAGAUCUGGAGGAAUACCGGUGGCGAAGGCGGCCCCCUGGACAAAGACUGACGCUCAGGUGCGAAAGCGUGGGGAGCAAACAGGAUUAGAUACCCUGGUAGUCCACGCCGUAAACGAUGUCUACUUGGAGGUUGUGCCCUUGAGGCGUGGCUUCCGGAGCUAACGCGUUAAGUAGACCGCCUGGGGAGUACGGCCGCAAGGUUAAAACUCAAAUGAAUUGACGGGGGCCCGCACAAGCGGUGGAGCAUGUGGUUUAAUUCGAUGCAACGCGAAGAACCUUACCUGGUCUUGACAUCCACAGAACUUUCCAGAGAUGGAUUGGUGCCUUCGGGAACUGUGAGACAGGUGCUGCAUGGCUGUCGUCAGCUCGUGUUGUGAAAUGUUGGGUUAAGUCCCGCAACGAGCGCAACCCUUAUCCUUUGUUGCCAGCGGUCCGGCCGGGAACUCAAAGGAGACUGCCAGUGAUAAACUGGAGGAAGGUGGGGAUGACGUCAAGUCAUCAUGGCCCUUACGACCAGGGCUACACACGUGCUACAAUGGCGCAUACAAAGAGAAGCGACCUCGCGAGAGCAAGCGGACCUCAUAAAGUGCGUCGUAGUCCGGAUUGGAGUCUGCAACUCGACUCCAUGAAGUCGGAAUCGCUAGUAAUCGUGGAUCAGAAUGCCACGGUGAAUACGUUCCCGGGCCUUGUACACACCGCCCGUCACACCAUGGGAGUGGGUUGCAAAAGAAGUAGGUAGCUUAACCUUCGGGAGGGCGCUUACCACUUUGUGAUUCAUGACUGGGGUGAAGUCGUAACAAGGUAACCGUAGGGGAACCUGC
rnacentral:rRNA from 7 species